rnacentral:rRNA from 1 species
GAUGAACGCUGGCGGCGUGCCUAAUACAUGCAAGUCGAACGCUUCACAUAUGUGAAGAGUGGCGAACGGGUGAGUAAUACAUAAGUAACCCGGCCUUUACAGGGGGAUAACUGUUGGAAACGAUAGCUAAGACCGCAUAGGUGUGAUAACCGCAUGGAGAUGACAUGAAAUAUGCUACGGCAUAGGUAGAGGAUGGACUUAUGGCGCAUUAGCUAGUUGGAGGGGUAACGGCCCACCAAGGCGACGAUGCGUAGCCGACCUGAGAGGGUGACCGGCCACACUGGGACUGAGACACGGCCCAGACUCCUACGGGAGGCAGCAGUAGGGAAUUUUCGGCAAUGGGGGAAACCCUGACCGAGCAACGCCGCGUGAAGGAAGAAGUAAUUCGUUAUGUAAACUUCUGUCAUAGAGGAAGAACGGUGCGUGUAGGGAAUGACAUGCAAGUGA